CCCACGAUAGUCACCAGUAUCCCGAGAGCCCCUGGAUAUGGGACCUCCCGGCCGUCCUCCAGUAUCCCGUCAGCCCUUGGUGAUAGGCCCUCCCGCGGUGGUCUGCCAGUAUCCCAUCAUCCAUGGGAGGUUUGCUGGAGACAAUGGAGUGUAGGAUGCAGAUUAAUUUACCGAGGCUGUGGCCCAGCGAGAGAAGGUCUCUCUGCUGCCGCAACAGUCUAUCCUGCUGUGCUGAAAGAAACAUCACAUCAUCAGAUUUCACAAAAGGGGGCUGCAAACAUCCAUGGGCUUAAGACUGAUUCACUGAAGCAGUUGUCUGUGUUACAGUUAGUCUGUAGUCACAGUUUAUGGCCGCUACACAAAUUGUGCCUGAUCUGGAUGUGUCUGAUGGAACAACUUACGGGGAACCUUCCUCUGUAAAAGCAAAGUGAACGCUGGAGAUCUGAAAUAAAAGCAGGAUAUGCUGGAGAGGCUCAGCAGUUCUUAUGAGCUGAUCAUCAACUACAGGAAGAAAGGAGGAGGACAUGCCCCCUAUCUGCAUCAAUGGAGCUGAAGUGGAAAGGGUCGAGAGUGUCAAGUUCCUGGGAGUGACAAUAAUCAACAAUCUGUCCUGGACCACCUACAGAGGCUAAGAAAAUUCAGCAUGACCACAAGCAUCCUCACCAAUAUUUACAGAUGCGCCACAGUAAAUAUUCUAUCUGGACACAUCAUGGCUUGGUAUAGCUCCUGCUCUGCCCAGAAUCAUAAGAAAGUACAGAAAGUUGUGAACACAGCCCAGACCUUCACACAAAACAACCUGCCAUCCAGUGACUCUACCUAAACUUCUUAAUGCUGCGGAAAGGUAGCCAACAUCAGAGACCCCUCCCAUCCCAGUUAUAAUCUCUUCCAACCUCUUUCUGGGUGUUGGGAUGAUUGCUUCUGUAAUUCAGUAUUUGGUCCAUAUGUAUUGUUUUCCAGUAGACAUUGGUUUGAAGUUCCCCAUUGGCUGUUUGCUCAAC